CAUGCGCUUUUGUAGAUCUCAGUGGCAUAAUUGAUGUAUAAACUGUUUUGCAGUUUUCUAUGAUUGAAUUUGUGUUUAUUCGAUUGUUGUUUUUUAUAUGUAUGGGCAUCCCUUUGCAGAGUGCUUGUUGUCUACAUAGGUCUUUGAACUUAAUUUUCCUGCCUUUUGCAUUGGCGUUCUUGGAUCUUAUAAGUUAGUAUUACUUGAUACAUCAGUAAAGUUCUUUUGUUUUAAUUACAAAAAAGGCUCUUGAUUGUCACAUAUUUCUUUGUGCUUUUCAGAAAAAUGAGUGGCUGUCAGUUCUCUAAUUUGGAGAUUGGGAUCAAAAGCAUGAUGUGUCGGAUUAUUCCAUGGGCUUUUCAUAUAACACCAAGGAGGAUCUCUUUCUGUGCCAUUGGGUUACUUCACUUCUGUUAGGUUGAAUUAUCCAUGCAAGUGUGGUGGAUGCUAAUGUACAUGUUGAGUAUAUUCAUGCUUCUUUGGCCUUACCAUAUCUUUUUCUAUGAAAAACAAUUACCCUCAUAGCAUCUAGCAUAUUUUAUUUAGAUGUCCUUAUGCAAGAUAGCUGACUUAUGCUUGUACUAUCUCUGUCGCUGAUGUAGAGUGAUGUAAGGAUAAAUGGCUCUUUUAAUUCUAUUCUUCAAUCUCAUCAAUAUUAAACUCGCCCACGAUAAACUUUAACCACUAAUAUAGGUGAUAGCUGGGUUUGAUUGUGGUACUAAGCAUCAUAGAAAUACAAAACUUGUUGGAGAAAUAAAUUUCCAGCUGCGAACUAAAUUCCAGCCGUUAUAACACUUUCCCAUUUAGUAGAAGUUGUUUUCUAGUGAUUGGAAACCGUUUUCGACAAUUUGAAGUUGUUUUCUAGCCAUCAAAUUUUAGAUGAAAUUCCUGAAAAAGUGUCGACUUCUUUUAUUUUUUGUUUUCUUAUUUAUGUAAUUAUUACAUGCUUUUAUAAUUUGGUGGUAGACACUCUCCGGCACAUAUAAUCACAAGACUAAGUUGAAGAAUAUAUCUUUCAGGUUUUGGCACUAUUUGCAGGAGCACUAUUGGAAAAACAAGUUGUAGUAAUAUCACCAAAUUUGAGAUACUGGCAGGAAGAUGCUCAUGAAUUCUUCCAGUGCAUGUUGGACAGGCUUCACAGUUUCUUUGGGACUUGAAACUGCAAGAUGAGCCCUCAUCUUCACAUGCUAACAGCUUCAUAAACCAGAUUUUUGGAGGCCGUCUUAGAAGCCAGGUAUUAAGCUAUAACAGAUAAUACUUCUUUAGCCCCUUUUUUUUUAUAAUAUAUAUAUAUAUAUAUAUAUAAUUCUAUACAAAUCGGAUAUGACCAUUAUUCAAUGCGUGAGAUUGCAAACUAACUAUUUAUUUUUUUCUUUGUAAUUUUCUUUUGAAUAUCAGCUUUAAGUUUGCAAUUGUGGCCAUUAUUCAAACUCCUCUGAGCCUCUAAUCAAUCUCAGUCAUAGACUAUCGAUCCUCAAGAUUUUUCUUACACCCAUUAACUUGGGGAGCUUUUCUUCAUUCACAGGAGUAUUUUAGAAAAUCCCAAUUUUACCUAGGAUUCAGAAUUUCUUUCUAAUGAUUGAUAUUCGGUAUACUCUGGGUAACCAUGACAGGAAGUGAGAGAAUGUAGCUAAUGAAUGAGCUUAGAGGCCGAGUCCAAAGAACUUUGGACAAGGUAUAGGCUAAGCUUAGAAGCCCAUGGAUUGAACCUGGUCUUGAGAUUCACACCCAAUAGCUAAUUGUUAUGUAAGAUGGACAUCAGAUAAACAAUAGUUGUUAGCCAAAAUCAAGCCAUUGAUUCCUCAAUAACUGCUUCCAUGUAAUGUA